rnacentral:rRNA from 1 species
ACUCAAAUGAAUUGACGGGGGCCCGCACAAGCGGUGGAGCAUGUGGUUCAAUUCGAUGCAACGCGAAGAACCUUACCCGGGUUUGAACUGUGCUUGUAAGACUCAGAGAUGAGUACCCCUAGCAAUAGGCAAGUACAGAGGUGCUGCAUGGCUGUCGUCAGCUCGUGUCGUGAGAUGUUGGGUUAAGUCCCGCAACGAGCGCAACCCUUGCUUUUAGUUGCUCGGCCGUAAGGUCAGCACUCUAAAUAGGACUGCCGGUGAUAAACCGGAGGAAGGUGGGGAUGACGUCAAGUCAUCAUGGCCUUUAUGCCCGGGGCUACACACGUGCUACAAUGGCUGGUACAAAGGGUUGCCAAACCGCAAGGUGGAGCCAAUCCCAUCAAAGCCAGCCUCAGUUCGGAUUGUAGUCUGCAACUCGACUACAUGAAGUUGGAAUCGCUAGUAAUCGCGGAUCAGCAUGCCGCAGUGAAUACGUUUCCGGGCCUUGCACACACCGCCCGU